rnacentral:rRNA from 1 species
GUGGGGAAUCUUGCGCAAUGGGCGAAAGCCUGACGCAGCCAUGCCGCGUGAAUGAUGAAGGUCUUAGGAUUGUAAAAUUCUUUCACCGGGGACGAUAAUGACGGUACCCGGAGAAGAAGCCCCGGCUAACUUCGUGCCAGCAGCCGCGGUAAUACGAAGGGGGCUAGCGUUGCUCGGAAUUACUGGGCGUAAAGGGCGCGUAGGCGGACAGUUUAGUCAGAGGUGAAAGCCCAGGGCUCAACCUUGGAAUUGCCGUUGAUACUGGCUGUCUUGAGUACGGGAGAGGUGAGUGGAACUCCGAGUGUAGAGGUGAAAUUCGUAGAUAUUCGGAAGAACACCAGUGGCGAAGGCGACUCACUGGCCCGUUACUGACGCUGAGGCGCGAAAGCGUGGGGAGCAAACAGGAUUAGAUACCCCGGUAGUCC